UGGGGAAUUUUGGACAAUGGGGGCAACCCUGAUCCAGCAAUGCCGCGUGUGUGAAGAAGGCCUUCGGGUUGUAAAGCACUUUUGUCCGGAAAGAAAACGCCGUGGUUAAUACCCGUGGCGGAUGAUGGUACCGGAAGAAUAAGCACCGGCUAACUACGUGCCAGCAGCCGCGGUAAUACGUAGGGUGCAAGCGUUAAUCGGAAUUACUGGGCGUAAAGCGUGCGCAGGCGGUCCGCUAAGACAGAUGUGAAAUCCCCGGGCUUAACCUGGGAACUGCAUUUGUGACUGGCGGGCUAGAGUAUGGCAGAGGGGGGUAGAAUUCCACGUGUAGCAGUGAAAUGCGUAGAGAUGUGGAGGAAUACCGAUGGCGAAGGCAGCCCCCUGGGCCAAUACUGACGCUCAUGCACGAAAGCGUGGGGAGCAAACAGGAUUAGAUACCCUGGUAGUCCACGCCCUAAACGAUGUCAACUAGUUGUCGGGUCUUCAUUGACUUGGUAACGUAGCUAACGCGUGAAGUUGACCGCCUGGGGAGUACGGUCGCAAGAUU
rnacentral:rRNA from 1 species